rnacentral:rRNA from 1 species
UACGUAGGGGGCGAGCGUUGUCCGGAGUUACUGGGCGUAAAGCGCUUGUAGGCGGUCCACCAAGUUUGGGGUGACAGUUGCCGACUUAAUCGGCAAAGUGCCUCAAAGACUGGCGGACUUGAGGGAGGUAGGGGCAUGCGGAACUUCCGGUGGAGCGGUGAAAUGCGUAGAUAUCGGAAGGAACACCGAUGGCGAAAGCAGCGUGCUGGACCUUUUCUGACGCUGAGGCGCGAAAGCCAGGGGAGCAAACGGG